rnacentral:rRNA from 1 species
AUACCCUAGUACACUUAAAUUUAAUUAGUAACAUUAGAAUAUUAAAAGUUAUGUUCUUUAAAUUUAAAAAAUUUGGCGGUGUUUUAGUCUAGUUAGAGGAACCUGUGUUAUAAACGAUACAACACGCAUUAUUUUACUUACUUUAGUAGAUCAGCUUGUAUACCGUCAUUAUAAGAUAAUUUAGGAGAGAAUAUUAUUGAGAUCAUAUUAUUGAGUAUAUUAGAUCAAGGUGCAGCUUAUGGGUAAGUAAACAUGGGUUACAAUAAAAUUUAUUUAAUAUGAAUUAAGUGUUUAAACAUGUUUAUGAAGGA